UUGAAUCUCCCCCUUCUAAGAUUCCGGAUCCGGAAUAUCUGCAGCACAUCUUACGUCAGACUGGGCACGUGCUGGCUGGUCGUGGCGCACAAGAGAGACGAGAGGACGCUCGCUUGCUUGCUCGCUCUCUGUCCCCCGGCCCGGCGUCUCGCUCUGCCCUCGCGCGGG
rnacentral:ribozyme from 1 species